AAGUCGUAACAAGGUUUCCGUAGGUGAACCUGCGGAAGGAUCAUUAACAAAUCUACAACACACCCUGUGUAAACGUUUGCGUUCCCUCGUGCGCUCGGCGUGGCGUUCGCGCACCGCCUUGCCGCCGAGGGAGCCGUGACCCAUACCAUUGAUUGGCAGCCUUAGAUGAUACAUCAUAAAAGCAAACAACUUUUAACAAUGGAUCUCUUGGCUCUU
rnacentral:misc_RNA from 1 species